rnacentral:tRNA from 2 species
GCCGGGGUGGCGGAACUGGUAGACGCGCCGGAUUCAAAAUCCGGUUCCUUUACGGGAGUGCCGGUUCGAUUCCGGCCCUCGGUACCA